rnacentral:rRNA from 1 species
CAGCAGUGGGGAAUCUUAGACAAUGGGCGCAAGCCUGAUCUAGCCAUGCCGCGUGUGUGAUGAAGGUCUUAGGAUCGUAAAGCACUUUCGCCAGGGAUGAUAAUGACAGUACCUGGUAAAGAAACCCCGGCUAACUCCGUGCCAGCAGCCGCGGUAAUACGGAGGGGGUUAGCGUUGUUCGGAAUUACUGGGCGUAAAGCGUACGUAGGCGGAUCAGAAAGUUGGGGGUGAAAUCCCGGGGCUCAACCCCGGAACUGCCUCCAAAACUCCUGGUCUUGAGUUCGAGAGAGGUGAGUGGAAUUCCAAGUGUAGAGGUGAAAUUCGUAGAUAUUUGGAGGAACACCAGUGGCGAAGGCGGCUCACUGGCUCGAUACUGACGCUGAGGUACGAAAGUGUGGGGAGCAAACAGGAUUAGAUACCCUGGUAGUCCACACCGUAAACGAUGAAUGCCAGUCGUCGGGCAGUAUACUGUUCGGUGACACACCUAACGGAUUAAGCAUUCCGCCUGGGGAGUACGGUCGCAAGAUUAAAACUCAAGG